GGCGAACCUAAGAAUGGCGGGUACGGGUUUGGAGGCCGGAAGGGUUGUGGUGGAUGCGCUGACGUAUUUUGACCGAGGUUACGAAGCACCUGGUGUGCGGGAAGCGGCUGAAGCAUUGGUGGAGGAGGAAAUACGUAGAUACCGACCUACCCAGAAGUACCUGAGCCACCUGAGAGCCCCGGAUUAUUCCACUCUUGAAACCAACAUAAUGAGAAAUGAAUUUGAAAGAUUGGCUGCUCGACAACCAAUUGAAUUGCUCAGUAUGAAACGAUACGAACUUCCAGCCCCUUCCUCGGGUCAGAAAAAUGACAUUACUGCGUGGCAAGAAUGCAUAAACAAUUCUAUGGCCCAGUUAGAGCAUCAAGCGGUUCGAAUUGAGAAUCUGGAACUAAUGUCACAGCAUGGAUGCAGUGCCUGGAAAGUGUAUAAUGAAAAUCUAGUUCAUAUGAUUGAACAUGCACAGAAAGAGCUCCAGAAGUUAAGGAAACAUAUUCAAGACUUAAACUGGCAGCGAAAGAACAUGCAACUCGCAGCUGGAUCUAAAUUAAGAGAAAUGGAGUCAACUUGGGUAUCCCUGGUCAGUAAGAAUUAUGAGAUUGAAAGGACUAUUGUACAAUUAGAAAAUGAACUCUUUCAAAUGAAGCAGCAACAUGGAGAGGCAAACAAAGAAAACAUACGGCAAGACUUCUGAAAAAGACUAAUCUGGUGGGUAGAAAGGAAGGCAUGUUGGGCUUUCACAGACGAUCAGACAUCUGAACUGUGAAAAACAACAGCAUCUUAUGGAAAUCAUCAGUGGUUAAAUGUUUAGAAAGCAUAGAAUGUGGACUGUUAUACUCUGUUUGUACAUUUCAGCAAAAUAAAAAAUUUCAACAUGG